rnacentral:lncRNA from 1 species
GUCCCACUCAGCAUACUUGGCACUAGGAUUAACUCUUGCACUAUGACAUCAGUUCUGUAACUGAAAGCUGUAUCCAGAGGAGAAAGAUGAAAGGGCAGAAAAAUGGGACUGCUCUGCCUGUCUGCAAGGGUGGCUUGGUACCCCAAAGUGGGGAGGCAAGGGUGCUCUCCUUCACACGGGGCAUACACCAGGGAACAGGACCGUGUUUGCUGGGUGGCAGCUGCAUACAACUUGGACCAGUAAUGGCUCAGGCUCCUGUCUGGUGGCCAAGAGGGAGGAGGAGACCUGGCAAGUGCUCUCUGUACACCGUCACUGGCUUGGGAUCACUGCUCCACUGGUGUCCCAGAAUUCAGACUUCUGGCAUCUGCACAAACACCUCAUCUCCUGCGCCCGCCACGAAGGCAGCUCUGUGAGGAAGGUUAUCGUGCUUUCUGUCCUUAUCAUAG